rnacentral:rRNA from 1 species
UCCCAGACUCCUACGGGAGGCAGCAGUGGGGGAUAUUGCACAAUGGGGGAAACCCUGAUGCAGCGACGCCGCGUGGGUGAAGAAGCGCCUCGGCGCGUAAAGCCCUGUCAGCAGGGAAGAAAAUGACGGUACCUGAAGAAGAAGCCCCGGCUAACUACGUGCCAGCAGCCGCGGUAAUACGUAGGGGGCAAGCGUUAUCCGGAUUUACUGGGUGUAAAGGGGGCGCAGACGGCGAUGCAAGCCAGGAGUGAAAGCCCGGGGCCCAACCCCGGGACUGCUCUUGGAACUGCGUGGCUGGAGUGCAGGAGGGGCAGGCGGAAUUCCUGGUGUAGCGGUGAAAUGCGUAGAUAUUAGGAAGAACACCAGUGGCGAAGGCGGCUUUCUGGACUGAAACUGACGCUGAGGCACGAAAGCGUGGGGAGCGAACAGGAUUAGAUACCCCUGUA